rnacentral:rRNA from 1 species
AUUGAACGCUGGCGGCAUGCCUUACACAUGCAAGUCGAACGGUAACGCGCCUUCGGGUGCCGACGAGUGGCGAACGGGUGAGUAAUACAUCGGAACGUGCCCGAUCGUGGGGGAUAACGAGGCGAAAGCUUUGCUAAUACCGCAUACGAUCUACGGAUGAAAGCAGGGGACCGCAAGGCCUUGCGCGGACGGAGCGGCCGAUGGCAGAUUAGGUAGUUGGUGGGAUAAAAGCUUACCAAGCCGACGAUCUGUAGCUGGUCUGAGAGGAUGAUCAGCCACACUGGGACUGAGACACGGCCCAGACUCCUACGGGAGGCAGCAGUGGGGAAUUUUGGACAAAGGGCGCAAGCCUGAUCCAGCCAUGCCGCGUGCAGGAUGAAGGCCUUCGGGUUGUAAACUGCUUUUGUACGGAACGAAAAGCCUUCUUUUAAUACAGGAGGGUCAUGACGGUACCGUAAGAAUAAGCACCGGCUAACUACGUG